GCACUGUUGAGAAGUCCCAUAAUAGGACGAAACGGACUUCCAGUGC
rnacentral:hammerhead_ribozyme from 1 species